rnacentral:rRNA from 1 species
AUAAGGGACCCCAAGUGCGAGGGCAUAUAGUCCUCGCUUUCUCGACUGUAAGGCGGUCGUGGAAUAAGAGCUGGGCAAGACCGGUGCCAGCCGCCGCGGUAAUACCGGCAGCUCAAGUGAUGACCGAUAUUAUUGGGCCUAAAGCGUCCGUAGCCGGCCACGAAGGUUCAUCGGGAAAUCCGCCAGCUCAACUGGCGGGCGUCCGGUGAAAACCACGUGGCUUGGGACCGGAAGGCUCGAGGGGUACGUCCGGGGUAGGAGUGAAAUCCUGUAAUCCUGGACGGACCACCGAUGGCGAAAGCACCUCGAGAAGACGGAUCCGACGGUGAGGGACGAAAGCUAGGGUCUCGAACCGGAUUAGAUACCCGGGUAGUCCUAGCUGUAAACGAUGCUCGCUAGGUGUGGCACAGGCUACGAGCCUGUGCUGUGCCGUAGGGAAGCCGAGAAGCGAGCCGCCUGGGAAGUACGUCCGCAAGGAUGAAACUUAAAGGAAUUGGCGGGGGAGCACUACAACCGGAGGAGCCUGCGGUUUAAUUGGACUCAACGCCGGACAUCUCACCAGCUCCGACUAUAGUGAUGACGAUCAGGUUGAUGACCUUAUCACGACGCUAUAGAGAGGAGGUGCAUGGCCGCCGUCAGCUCGUACCGUGAGGCGUCCUGUUAAGUCAGGCAACGAGCGAGACCCGCACUUCUAAUUGCCAGCAGCAGUUUCGACUGGCUGGGUACAUUAGAAGGACUGCCGCUGCUAAAGCGGAGGAAGGAACGGGCAACGGUAGGUCAGUAUGCCCCGAAUGAGCUGGGCUACACGCGGGCUACAAUGGUCGAGACAAUGGGUUGCUAUCUCGAAAGAGAACGCUAAUCUCCUAAACUCGAUCGUAGUUCGGAUUGAGGGCUGAAACUCGCCCUCAUGAAGCUGGAUUCGGUAGUAAUCGCAUUUCAAUAGAGUGCGGUGAAUACGUCCCUGCUCCUUGCACACACCGCCCGUCAAAGCACCCGAGUGAGGUCCGGAUGAGGCCACCAC